CGCUGGCGGCGUGCCUAAUACAUGCAAGUCGAGCGAACGGACGAGAAGCUUGCUUCUCUGAUGUUAGCGGCGGACGGGUGAGUAACACGUGGAUAACCUACCUAUAAGACUGGGAUAACUUCGGGAAACCGGAGCUAAUACCGGAUAAUAUUUUGAACCGCAUGGUUCAAAAGUGAAAGACGGUCUUGCUGUCACUUAUAGAUGGAUCCGCGCUGCAUUAGCUAGUUGGUAAGGUAACGGCUUACCAAGGCAACGAUGCAUAGCCGACCUGAGAGGGUGAUCGGCCACACUGGAACUGAGACACGGUCCAGACUCCUACGGGAGGCAGCAGUAGGGAAUCUUCCGCAAUGGGCGAAAGCCUGACGGAGCAACGCCGCGUGAGUGAUGAAGGUCUUCGGAUCGUAAAACUCUGUUAUUAGGGAAGAACAUAUGUGUAAGUAACUGUGCACAUCUUGACGGUACCUAAUCAGAAAGCCACGGCUAACUACGUGCCAGCAGCCGCGGUAAUACGUAGGUGGCAAGCGUUAUCCGGAAUUAUUGGGCGUAAAGCGCGCGUAGGCGGUUUUUUAAGUCUGAUGUGAAAGCCCACGGCUCAACCGUGGAGGGUCAUUGGAAACUGGAAAACUUGAGUGCAGAAGAGGAAAGUGGAAUUCCAUGUGUAGCGGUGAAAUGCGCAGAGAUAUGGAGGAACACCAGUGGCGAAGGCGACUUUCUGGUCUGUAACUGACGCUGAUGUGCGAAAGCGUGGGGAUCAAACAGGAUUAGAUACCCUGGUAGUCCACGCCAUAAACGAUGAGUGCUAAGUGUUAGGGGGUUUCCGCCCCUUAGUGCUGCAGCUAACGCAUUAAGCACUCCGCCUGGGGAGUACGACCGCAAGGUUGAAACUCAAAGGAAUUGACGGGGACCCGCACAAGCGGUGGAGCAUGUGGUUUAAUUCGAAGCAACGCGAAGAACCUUACCAAAUCUUGACAUCCUUUGACAACUCUAGAGAUAGAGCCUUCCCCUUCGGGGGACAAAGUGACAGGUGGUGCAUGGUUGUCGUCAGCUCGUGUCGUGAGAUGUUGGGUUAAGUCCCGCAACGAGCGCAACCCUUAAGCUUAGUUGCCAUCAUUAAGUUGGGCACUCUAAGUUGACUGCCGGUGACAAACCGGAGGAAGGUGGGGAUGACGUCAAAUCAUCAUGCCCCUUAUGAUUUGGGCUACACACGUGCUACAAUGGACAAUACAAAGGGCAGCGAAACCGCGAGGUCAAGCAAAUCCCAUAAAGUUGUUCUCAGUUCGGAUUGUAGUCUGCAACUCGACUACAUGAAGCUGGAAUCGCUAGUAAUCGUAGAUCAGCAUGCUACGGUGAAUACGUUCCCGGGUCUUGUACACACCGCCCGUCACACCACGAGAGUUUGUAACACCCGAAGCCGGUGGAGUAACCUUUUAGGAGCUAGCCGUCGAAGGUGGGACAAAUA
rnacentral:rRNA from 1 species